GGGAGAUGGUAUGAAAGGUUUCAGACCUUCAACUGAAGGAAUCAGGUAGGUGAAAGAGAAGGCUGGGGUUGGCUCGGAGAACAUUCAUUCAUCUACCACUCAGUCAAUAAUGAAAGCCUCCUGAUACUCCUCCCCAUAUAUUUUGGGAGAGAAUGGCAUCUGCUUUAUUGGGUCAGGUUUCACUCAGUAAAUAUUGGGAGGAUCUAAUUCCUACCUGUAACAAGAGGAAAAGUCAAGGGAUUAUAAUUUGCAGUCAUUUAUCACACAUGACCAAGAGAAGUUGCAGCAGGCUCCAAACUCCUUGCCCUAUGUCCCACCUUCCCCUCCUUGCGCCACUCUGACUCCCCACAGAUGGGAAUCUUCCAGUUACACACACACAAGAUGUCUUACUCUUGCCGUGUUCAAUAAGAAGCAGCUUUUGGGCUUCUUAAUUUAUAGCAAGGAGAACUCUGCUGUGAAAGAUACUUAAUAGGCUUCUUCCUAUGUGAUGAUUUUCCAUGUUGAAAUAAAAUAAUGUGCCAUCAAUUCACAUAAUCACAAAACUAUGGAAUCAUGGAAUCACAGCAUCAUAGAAUGGCUGGGGCUGGAAAGGAACUUUGGUGAUCAUCUAGUUCAGCUCCCUGCUAAAGCAGCCUUACCUAGAGCAGGUUUUGCAAGAUCAUGUCCUGGUGGGUUUUGAAUAUUUACAGAGAAGGAGAUGCCACAAUCUUUCUGGACAGCCUGUCCAGUGCUCUGUCACCCUUGCAUUCUGUUUGAAGCUGCUUCAUAUCUUGCAAAGCCAAGCCAAGUCAAGAGCAACCACAUGGAAUAGGCUUGGAAUGAUAAGCGAAGUAAGGAAAACUGGACUUUCCUUUAGAACAAGCCCAUCAGAGAUGCAGCAUGACAGCCUGUGGUUGGCAGGCUCCUGGAAGAUGCCUUCCUCCUCAUGGCUGCAUCAAGCAAGGAGGGAGGGACCUAAAAACUUCAUACUCCCAGAUAUCUGCAAGAAACUGACAGAGACACUGAGUCUAAUUAUCCCAAGUUCUUCAUUCCCUUUAACUUCAGUGAGAAUACAGAGGAUCUGCCUCAAUUAUGGUGAGAAUAAGCAAUACACAUUCAACAAGGAGCCGAAGAGGGAAAAAGUGAGGGGAAAUUGCUAUGUAUAGACACCACAGCCAUUGAAAGACCUUUAACCUGUUUAUCUUCUCUUAAUAAAGUUUUU
rnacentral:lncRNA from 1 species